GAGCCAAGCGACUUCGAUCAUUUAUAGCCGAUGAGCAUCCAAAGUCAUUUUCUGCAUUUCUAAAUAACCUCAUCUCAUUAGUUAAGUUCCCCUGCAAGGUUGGAUUACCAAAUGAAUAUCUCUCUAUGACAUCUAAGAGUCCAGAAACACUAUGAGGAUGUUUAUCCAUAAGUUUUGAGUCAUAUUGAAAACAGGGAUUCAACCAAAACCCAG
rnacentral:lncRNA from 1 species